rnacentral:rRNA from 1 species
UACGUAGGGGGCGAGCGUUGUCCGGAUUUAUUGGGCGUAAAGAGCGUGUAGGCGGCCAGGUAGGUCUGCUGUGAAAACUCGAGGCUCAACCUCGAGACGUCGGCGGAAACCAUCUGGCUAGAGUCCGGAAGAGGAGAGUGGAAUUCCUGGUGUAGUGGUGAAAUGCGUAGAUAUCGGGAGGAACACCAGUGGCGAAGGCGACUACCUGGCCCACUCUUGACGCUGAGGCGCGAAAGCUAGGGGAGCGAACGGG